rnacentral:rRNA from 1 species
AAUAGAUACCCGGGUAGUCCACGCCGUAAACGAUGAGUGCUAAGUGUUAGAGGGUUUCCGCCCUUUAGUGCUGCAGCUAACGCAUUAAGCACUCCGCCUGGGGAGUACGGUCGCAAGACUGAAACUCAAAGGAAUUGACGGGGGCCCGCACAAGCGGUGGAGCAUGUGGUUUAAUUCGAAGCAACGCGAAGAACCUUACCAGGUCUUGACAUCCUCUGACAACUCUAGAGAUAGAGCGUUCCCCUUCGGGGACAGAGUGACAGGUGGUGCAUGGUUGUCGUCAGCUCGUGUCGUGAGAUGUUGGGUUAAGUCCCGCAACGAGCGCAACCCUUAAGUUUAGUUGCCAGCAUUCAGUUGGGCACUCUAAGGUGACUGCCGGUGACAAACCGGAGGAAGGUGGGGAUGACGUCAAAUCAUCAUGCCCCUUAUGACCUGGGCUACACACGUGCUACAAUGGAUGGUACAAAGAGCUGCGAACCCGCGAGGGUAAGCGAAUCUCAUAAAGCCAUUCUCAGUUCGGA